rnacentral:rRNA from 1 species
GAUUAACGCUGGCGGCGUGCAUAACACAUGCAAGUCGAACGAUGAAACUUAGUAGACUUCUUCGGAAAGACACUAAGCGGAUUAGUGGCGAACGGGUGAGUAACGCGUGAGUAACCUGCCUUACACAGGGGGAUAGCCUUUGGAAACGAAGAAUAAUACCCUAUAAAACCAUAAAAGCACAUGCUAGAAUGGUCAAAGUGAUAGCGGUGUAAGAUGGACUUGCGUCUGAUUAGCUAGUUGGUGAGAUAAAAGCUCACCAAGGCAACGAUCAGUAGCCGGCUUGAGAGAGUGUACGGCCACAUUGGGACUGAGACACGGCCCAGACUCCUACGGGAGGCAGCAGUGGGGAAUUUUGCACAAUGGGGGAAACCCUGAUGCAGCGACGCCGCGUGAUUGAGAAGGCCUUCGGGUUGUAAAAAUCUUUUGUAUAGGAAGAAAAUGACAGUACUAUACGAAUAAGGUCCGGCUAAUUACGUG